rnacentral:rRNA from 1 species
GCUGCUAUAAUGCAGUCGAGCGAACAGAUAAGGAGCUUGCUCCUUUGACGUUAGCGGCGGACGGGUGAGUAACACGUGGGUAACCUACCUAUAAGACUGGAAUAACUCCGGGAAACCGGGGCUAAUGCCGGAUAAUAUUUAGAACCGCAUGGUUCUAAAGUGAAAGAUGGUUUUGCUAUCACUUAUAGAUGGACCCGCGCCGUAUUAGCUAGUUGGUGGGGUAAUGGCUYACCAAGGCAACGAUACGUAGCCGACCUGAGAGGGUGAUCGGCCACACUGGAACUGAGACACGGUCCAGACUCCUACGGGAGGCAGCAGUAGGGAAUCUUCCGCAAUGGGCGAAAGCCUGACGGAGCAACGCCGCGUGAGUGAUGAAGGUCUUCGGAUCGUAAAACUCUGUUAUUAGGGAAGAACAAAUGUGUAAGUAACUGUGCACGUCUUGACGGUACCUAAUCAGAAAGCCACGGCUAACUACGUGCCAGCAGCCGCGGUAAUACGUAGGUGGCAAGCGUUAUCCGGAAUUAUUGGGCGUAAAGCGCGCGUAGGCGGUUUCUUAAGUCUGAUGUGAAAGCCCACGGCUCAACCGUGGAGGGUCAUUGGAAACUGGGAAACUUGAGUGCAGAAGAGGAAAGUGGAAUUCCAUGUGUAGCGGUGAAAUGCGCAGAGAUAUGGAGGAACACCAGUGGCGAAGGCGACUUUCUGGUCUGUAACUGACGCUGAUGUGCGAAAGCGUGGGGAUCAAACAGGAUUAGAUACCCUGGUAGUCCACGCCGU